AAGUUUAUUUUCUGAAUUUAAAAAAACCUGAAUAAAAGUAAAAAGGUUUGGUUUGUUUCGGUCAUAAAUUCCGGUUUAUAAGCAGUUGGGCUGCUACAAAC